rnacentral:rRNA from 1 species
AUUGAACGCUGGCGGCAGGCUUAACACAUGCAAGUCGAACGGUAACAUAAAGAAGCUUGCUUCUUUGAUGACGAGUGGCGGACGGGUGAGUAAUGCUUGGGAAUCUAGCUUAUGGAGGGGGAUAACUACGGGAAACUGUAGCUAAUACCGCGUAGAAUCGGGAGAUGAAAGUGUGGGACCUUCGGGCCACAUGCCAUAGGAUGAGCCCAAGUGGGAUUAGGUAGUUGGUGAGGUAAAGGCUCACCAAGCCGACGAUCUCUAGCUGGUCUGAGAGGAUGACCAGCCACACUGGGACUGAGACACGGCCCAGACUCCUACGGGAGGCAGCAGUGGGGAAUAUUGCGCAAUGGGGGCAACCCUGACGCAGCCAUGCCGCGUGAAUGAAGAAGGCCUUCGGGUUGUAAAGUUCUUUCGGUAGCGAGGAAGGCAUUUAGUUUAAUAAACUGGAU